CCUACGGGUGGCAGCAGUGGGGAAUAUUGCACAAUGGGGGCUACCCUGAUGCAGCAAAGCCGCGUGAAGGAUGACUGUUUUCUGGUUGUAAACCUCUGUUCUUAUUGAAGAAUAAUGACGUUAGCUAACUAGCUAGCCACGGCUAACUACGUGCCAGCAGCCGCGGUAAUACGUAGGUGGCAAGCGUUGUCCGGAAUUACGGGGUGUAAAGGGAGCGCAGGCGGGUAGCUAAGUCAGCUGUGAAAGUUACGGGCUCAACUUGUAGACUGCAGUUGAAACUGGCAUUCUUGAGUGAAGUAGAGGUAGGCGGAAUUCGGAGUGUAGCGGUGAAAUGCGUAGAUAUUAGGAGGAACACCGAUGGCGAAGGCGGCCAACUGGGCUGUAACUGACGCUGAGGCUCGAAAGUGUGGGGAGCAAACAGGAUUAGAUACCCGGGUAGUC
rnacentral:rRNA from 1 species